UGGGGAAUUUUGGACAAUGGGCGAAAGCCUGAUCCAGCAAUGCCGCGUGUGUGAAGAAGGCCUUCGGGUUGUAAAGCACUUUUGUCCGGAAAGAAAUCCUCUGGGUUAAUACCUCGGGGGGAUGACGGUACCGGAAGAAUAAGCACCGGCUAACUACGUGCCAGCAGCCGCGGUAAUACGUAGGGUGCAAGCGUUAAUCGGAAUUACUGGGCGUAAAGCGUGCGCAGGCGGUUUUGUAAGACGGAUGUGAAAUCCCCGGGCUUAACCUGGGAACUGCAUUCGUGACUGCAAGGCUAGAGUAUGGCAGAGGGGGGUAGAAUUCCACGUGUAGCAGUGAAAUGCGUAGAGAUGUGGAGGAAUACCGAUGGCGAAGGCAGCCCCCUGGGCCAAUACUGACGCUCAUGCACGAAAGCGUGGGGAGCAAACAGGAUUAGAUACCCUGGUAGUCCACGCCCUAAACGAUGUCAACUAGUUGUUGGGGAUUCAUUUCCUAGUAACGUAGCUAACGCGUGAAGUUGACCGCCUGGGGAGUACGGUCGCAAGAUUAAAACUCAAAUGAAUUGACGGGGUCAUAGCUGUUUCC
rnacentral:rRNA from 1 species